rnacentral:rRNA from 1 species
UUAACCGGAUUAGAUACCCUGGUAGUCCACGCCGUAAACGAUGAUAACUUGCUGGCCGGGCCCAUGGAACUUGGGUGGCGGAGCUAACGCAUUAAGUUAUCCGCCUGGGGAGUACGGUCGCAAGAUUAAAACUCAAAUGAAUUGACGGGGGCCCGCACAAGCGGUGGAGCAUGUGGUUUAAUUCGAUGCAACGCGAAGAACCUUACCUGGCCUUGACAUCCACGGAACUUUCUAGAGAUGAAUUGGUGCCUUCGGGAACAUUGAGACAGGUGCUGCAUGGCUGUCGUCAGCUCGUGUUGUGAAAUGUUGGGUUAAGUCCCGCAACGAGCGCAACCCUUGUCCUUAGUUACCAGCACGUAAUGGGGGAACUUCUAAGGAAAUGGCCGGGGACAAAUGGAAGGAAGGGGGGAAUAACUA